UACGUAGGGGGCGAGCGUUGUCCGGAAUCAUUGGGCGUAAAGCGCGUGUAGGCGGCCCGGUAAGUCCGCUGUGAAAGUCCAGGGCUCAACCCUGGGAUGCCGGUGGAUACUGCCGGACUAGAGUUCGGAAGAGGCGAGUGGAAUUCCCGGUGUAGCGGUGAAAUGCGCAGAUAUCGGGAGGAACACCAAUGGCGAAGGCAGCUCGCUGGGACGUUACUGACGCUGAGACGCGAAAGCGUGGGGAGCAAACAGGG
rnacentral:rRNA from 1 species